AGAGAGGACAACAUGUUGGAGGGGAAGCCAGAGAGUUAACCAGAGAUUAAAUCCUGUUGGCUCUUACCGGACAAGGACUGGGCUUUUACUCUGAGUGAGAUCAGAAGCCAUUGCUGGGCUGGGACCGGAGGAGAUACACAGCUCACAAAACACAUCAAUACAGAGAAUUCAAACUUCUGAAAAACAUAUUGGAUGAAGAAAUGAAGUCCAAAUUAAAAUGAGGAAGUCCAGUCAGAUGACGAACUUGAACACAAAGAGCAAGCCAUUGAGCACUAGUUGGCCACAGAUGUGGAUUUAAGUUUUCUAGCUGCCAAAAUGUAAAGAGGGAAACACGAUCCUCUGCAGGACUCAACAGUAUCCCUGAGAUCGAAUCUGACAAACUGCUCAGAAGGGGCACCUAUGCUUUUCCCUGAGAUGAAUGUCUCCCAUCGUCAGAUGUCAGAUUCUGGAUCUAUUUUGACAAGAGAGCUCAAAGGAUUUCUUCACAGAUGGAAAUGAGGGAGGGCUGUGAACCCCUGAUAUCUGAGAGGUGUCUCAGUCAAUUUAGAAAGUUUAUUUUGCCAACGUUAAGGACCCGCCCAUGACAGCCUCAGGAGGUCCUGACGACACGUGCCCAAGGUGGUCAGGGCACAGCCUGCUUCCAUACAUUUUAGUGAGACAUGAAACAUCAAUCAUUUUAUGUGCUAGACCUCCAGAGAGAGAAAAUGAGACACAUAAGGUGGAAAUUACUCUGUGGUGACACACUGUGGAGUCCUGCCCACAACCCGGAUACUUGGACCCACUCCACUGAAACCUUAGGCCACAGCUAAGUUCCUUCCUUCAAAAAAUAAAUCUAAGAAAGAGGAAAAACAGGAAUGACCUCCUUUCAGGCACUCUGUUGGUUUUAUGGCGCCUCUUCUUGCGAAUGUUUGUGUAAAAUUGACAUACUGUGGUCCUUUUCUGCACAAUUACGGCAAGGAAAAUUCAGAUCGCAAAGGUCCACCUUUCAUCUGCAUCUCAUUACCGGGUAGCAGGAAUAAGUAGGCUGACCCUCAGUUUGGACCGGGAACAGCUGUAUUGGCACAGAGAUUUCAGAAAAGAAAAAGCGGGAGUUAGUAGGCCACCCUAAAAGCUGUGCCUCUACAGCGGAAAGAAACUUUGUUUUGACUCUGAGGAACGGCGCUUUUUUUCUAAACGCGAAGGGCGGGGUAAGAGCAGAGCUGCACGCAUCUGUGAAUACAUACUGCCACCAAACGGGCAUAAUUUCACCGCGACGGAGAAAGUCUGGGAGGACGUUCUCUUUGCGGCCCAAUUUCUGCUCUUUAGAUCUGGAGCAGUCCACUGAGGGACCUGAACAAGAUAAACGGGAAGGGAAAAGCGCCAGAAGUUCGAGCAGAGAACCCACCGGGCAGCCGGUGGGGGUGCCCCGGAAGUCGAUUUGCAACUGGGAGGCGGGCGGUCUGCCGAAGUGCUGCCCCGGAAGCCAUAGCAGUAGCAGAAGGACGUUCCCGCCCCGCUCCUUCCCCCGGCCCUCCCCC
rnacentral:lncRNA from 10 species